rnacentral:rRNA from 1 species
CUACGGGCCGCUGCAGUGGGGAAUAUUGCACAAUGGAGGAAACUCUGAUGCAGCAACGCCGCGUGGAGGAUGACACUUUUCGGAGCGUAAACUCCUUUUAUAUAGGAAGAAGAUGACGGUACUAUAUGAAUAAGCGCCGGCUAACUCCGUGCCAGCAGCCGCGGUAAUACGGAGGGCGCAAGCGUUACUCGGAAUCACUGGGCGUAAAGAGCGUGUAGGCGGAUUAAAAAGUCAGAAGUGAAAUCCUAUAGCUUAACUAUAGAACUGCUUCUGAAACUCUUAAUCUAGAAUAUGGGAGAGGUAGUUGGAAUUUCUGGUGUAGGGGUAAAAUCCGUAGAGAUCAGAAGGAAUACCGAUUGCGAAGGCGAUCUACUAGAACAUUAUUGACGCUGAGACGCGAAAGCGUGGGGAGCAAACAGGAUUAAUACCCUCGUAGUC